rnacentral:rRNA from 1 species
CGGCGGACGGGGGAGUAACGCGUGGGUAACCGUGCCUCAUACAGGGGGAUAACAGUUGGAAACGGCUGCUAAUACCGCAUAAGCGCACAGUACCGCAUGGUACGGUGUGAAAAACUCCGGUGGUAUGAGAUGGACCCGCGUCUGAUUAGGUAGUUGGUGGGGUAACGGCCUACCAAGCCGACGAUCAGUAGCCGACCUGAGAGGGUGACCGGCCACAUUGGGACUGAGACACGGCCCAA